UUUUUUUUUUAAGAAAAAAGUGAGACACUGUUUUGUUUUGAAGUGUUCCCCGUACAUGAGAAGAAUCACAGCUGGGGCCAGCGAUUAGAGGUCUCCAUGAAAGCUGGAGCUUUCUGCACCCUAAAGGUGGGAGUGCCACCAGGAUGCCCACAGUGUUUUUUCAAUCCACGUGUUUUCAUGGCUGUGUCAGAGAUGUUAUAAACCUUGACAUGUGACUUAUGCAGCAAUAUCACAACUUCACACCGAGCCUGGUCACCCAGGGUGAGAAGCAGCACUCCUGCCCUGGAAAUUGUGCUGUUUUAAAGGUUCAUGGAACUCUCGGCACUGUCUGCUUCUCUCAGGGGUGUCAUUGUUCUGCCUUUCUUUCUCUGAAAGAUAAAAAAUGCUUAAAAGAAUGUUUGUGCUUUCCUUGUAAGAGCCAGACUGUGGAAGUGAAUUUGCCAUUAGGAACAUUUUGGCACUCUCACUGCAGGGCUGGUCCCAGCAGCAUGCAAGGUUGAAGCCUUGCUGUGCCACAGCACCUGCAGAGCAGCUGGAAUAGGUUUGUGCUACAGCAAGGAGCUGUACAGCAACUCACAGAAUAUGUAAUUUCCACAAAGCUUGCUUCUAAAGGGGGGAGAAAAAAAGGAAAAAUACACUAUCCUGUGUGCUUUGGCCCUCUAUGGGACAUGGUUUGUUUAUUCCUGAACUAAGAAUGGCAAAGAAAUAUUUCUGCCUCAUUCUAAAAUUUUCAUGUUUCUUACUCAUUAUGAGAAUGACUUUUCAUUUAAUAAACUCUUUUGCCCUGCAACAGAAAUCUUUCUCCUAAAGAAGGAGGAGUGGGGGCAGGCAUUUUCUAUGCUUUUUAUUGAGUAAGCCACAUGUAAAAAGAUCUGAAUAAUCUUUGGAAGGAAAAAAAAAAAACAGGACAUGAAUUUCAGAGCAUGUGCUUUUGUGUUAUUCAAUAUGACUGAUAGAGAAGGAUAAGGUUGAAGUUCAAGGCAAGUAUGGAAAGUAAUUUCUCUCUGCACAGUCACAAAUAAAAUGAGUCACAGCUCUAUAGGAUUAAAUUAAUUAAAGAUGGAUCUUGUGCUUGAUGCUAGUUUGAUAGAACUAGAGUUUGUAGUGGUUGUAUCAUGAACAUAAGUGGAUAUCUCUAGUGGCUAGCUAGUAUUUUCUUUAUACUCAUGAGUGUUUACUAUGGCACACAAAUGCUAACCGGUUUUAUCACACAGUCAUUAUCAUAUCUUCUCCCCUUUCUCUCUACUCUUCAGGUGUUGCUGCUACAAAAUGAUUUCAUAUCAAUUAAGAAUUCCAUUUCCUUCAAGGGGCUACUGAAGGAACAGCCACCUGUAAUGCAUGCUGUUAGACUUCAGGUGCUCUCUUUCCUUACAUCAAGAUCAGUGCUUUUAAAAUCCAUGUUCAAAACUGCAAGCAUUAAUGGAGUAUUUUUCCUAGUAAAAAGAAAAAGAAAAAAAUUACAUUUUCUUAGGGAAAUUUAGUUCUUAGAACACUCAGACUUUAAAAAUAAAAAGUUAAAAAUAUAUCAGACUUUUCAUUCAAAGUGAAACAAUAGCAAUGAAGUACUACGAAGUUUCUGCAUUGCUGUUGAAAGCAAAGGCAUUUCAUUAAGCACAGUGUAAAGAUGACAAUUGCUUAUCUAGGGGACAGUGAUAAGAAAUCAAACCCAAACAAACAACUUUCAAACUAUUUUUAGGAGGAGGAUCUCUAGUUUCUUUGUAAUUUCAUGGAAAAAAACCGAUUUUUUUUUUCUUCACAUACAUAAAAAAAUCCAUUUGAGAACAAGCAUUCCAAGUGUACCUUAGCACCAGUUCCUAAGUAACGUUAAGGGGAUCUGGCAUUUGGAAGGUUAAUUUUCUUAUCAAAACUAUACAAAAUCCUAAUUUUGCAGAGUAGCAAUUUGGAAAAAAAAAUCAGCAAUGGGAAAAUGUUGGUUAUGCAGCACUAGACAUUCAGUACUC
ensembl:lncRNA